AUCGAACGCUGGCGGCAGGCCUAACACAUGCAAGUCGAGCGGAGGAAGUUGGCUUGCUCCUGGAUUCGGCGAGGGACGGGUGAGUGAGUCCUAGGAAGGGGCCUGGUAGUGGGGGGGAACGUCCGGAAACGAGCGCUAAUACCGCAUACGACCUGAGGUAGAAAGUGGGGGAUCUUGGGACCUCACGCUAUCAGAUGAGCCUAGGUUUGAUUACCUAGUGGGUGGGGUAAAGGCCUACCAAGGCGACGAUCCGUAACUGGUCUGAGAGGAUGAUCGGUCACAUUGGAACUGAGAAAGGGCCCAGACUCCUACGGGAGGAAGCAGUGGGGAAUAUUGGACAAUGGGGGAAAGCCUGAUCCAGCACUGCGGGGUGUGUGAAGAAGGUCUCCGGAUUGUAAAGCACUUUAGGUUGGAAGGAAGGGCAGUAAGUUAAUACGUUGCUGUUGUGACGUUACCAACAGAAUAAGCACCGGCUAACUUCGUG
rnacentral:rRNA from 1 species